rnacentral:rRNA from 1 species
UACAGAGGUGGCAAGCGUUGUUCGGAAUUACUGGGCGUAAAGCGUGCGCAGGCGGCUUUGCAAGACAGAUGUGAAAUCCCCGGGCUUAACCUGGGAACUGCAUUUGUGACUGCACAGCUGGAGUGCGGCAGAGGGGGAUGGAAUUCCGCGUGUAGCAGUGAAAUGCGUAGAUAUGCGGAGGAACACCGAUGGCGAAGGCAAUCCCCUGGGCCUGCACUGACGCUCAUGCACGAAAGCGUGGGGAGCAAACAGG